rnacentral:rRNA from 1 species
GGUGGAAUUAUGGGCGGCGAGCGGCGGACGGGUGAGUAAUGCCUGGGAAUAUGCCCUGAUGUGGGGGAUAACCAUUGGAAACGAUGGCUAAUACCGCAUAAUCUCUUCGGAGCAAAGAGGGGGACCUUCGGGCCUCUCGCGUCAGGAUUAGCCCAGGUGGGAUUAGCUAGUUGGUGGGGUAACGGCUCACCAAGGCGACGAUCCCUAGCUGGUCUGAGAGGAUGAUCAGCCACACUGGAACUGAGACACGGUCCAGACUCCUACGGGAGGCAGCAGUGGGGAAUAUUGCACAAUGGGGGAAACCCUGAUGCAGCCAUGCCGCGUGUGUGAAGAAGGCCUUCGGGUUGUAAAGCACUUUCAGUCGUGAGGAAGGGUGUGCAGUUAAUAGCUGUACAUUUUGACGUUAGCGACAGAAGAAGCACCGGCUAACUCCGUGCCAGCAGCCGCGGUAAUACGGAGGGUGCGAGCGUUAAUCGGAAUUACUGGGCGUAAAGCGCAUGCAGGCGGUCUGUUAAGCGAGAUGUGAAAGCCCGGGGCUCAACCUCGGAACUGCAUUUCGAACUGGCAGGCUAGAGUCUUGUAGAGGGGGGUAGAAUUUCAGGCGUAGCGGUGAAAUGCGUAGAGAUCUGAAGGAAUACCGGUGGCGAAGGCGGCCCCCUGGACAAAGACUGACGCUCAGAUGCGAAAGCGUGGGGGAGCA